GCUUGGCCAUGGCGGGGAACAUGCUCAGUUGGUAGAGCAUGAGACUUUUAAUCCUGGGGUUGUGGGUUCGAGCCCCAUGCUGGGCA